CAGGAGGCAGCAGGGCGCAAAUUACCCCACUCCAGAACGGGAGGUAKGACGAAAAAUAACAAUACGGGACUCUUUUGAGACCCCGUAAUUGGAAUGAGUACACUCUAAAUCCUUUAACGAGGAUCCAUUGGAGAGCAAGUCUGGUGCCAGCAGUCGCGGUAAUUCCAGCUCCAAUAGCGUAUAUUAAAGUUGUUGCGGUUAAAAAGCUCGUAGUUGGAUCUCAGCUCUGGCCGGACGGUCCACCUACCGGUGGUUACUGUUCGCUGCCGAGCGUUACGCAGGCGCUGUCUGAUGAUCUUUACCGGUUGUCCGGCGGUGCCUACACGUUUACUUUGAAAAAAUUAGAGUGCUCAACGCAGGCGUGACGCCUGAAUAAUUGUGCAUGGAAUAAUGGAAUAGGACCUCGGUUCUAUUUUGUUGGUUUUCGGAACACGAGGUAAUGAUUAAGAGGGACAGACGGGGGCAUUCGUAUUGCGACGCUAGAGGUGAAAUUCUUGGACCGUCGCAAGACGAACUACUGCGAAAGCAUUUGCCAAGAAUGUUUCCAUUAAUCAAGAACGAAAGUUAGAGGUUCGAAGGCGAUCAGAUACCGCCCUAGUUCUAACCAUAAACGAUGCCAGCCAGCGAUCCGGCUGUGUUCCUCAAUGACACGCCGGGCAGCUUCCGGGAACCAAAGCUUUUGGUCC
rnacentral:rRNA from 1 species